GCCGUCUGACAGACAGAGAGAGAGAGGGAGAGAGCGAUAUCCAGCUCUCUGACUCAUAAAAGGUAAUAAGCGGUCGAAGGUUCGUUUUAAUUCCAUUAAUCAUCAAAGCGCGCGCUCAAAAUUGCACAAAUCGCCAGCGACAACCCCCCCUCAUUGGGUAAACCGCACCUGUGCUUGCCAGGCAGCAGCGGUAGCAGCAGCGCAGCAGCAGCAGCAGCAGCAGCAUUCAAGUGGAUUUUUGUUCAAAGCACGAGCAGAAGAAAUGUCAGAAAUUUGUGUGCGGAGAUAAGCGACAUUCAAUUCAAUUAAUGGCGCGCGCAGCACAAAAACACCACAGGCACAUAUAUACACACACGAACGCAUACACACACACACACACACACACACGCACACAUAUUGCAGCAUAAAACUGGCGAGAGGCUGAGAAUAAAACUGUAAUCGUAAUCCCUGCAGAGCAAGAGUAACAGCAGCAGCAGCAGCAUACAACAACACCACCAACAACAACAACAACAACGACGCCAGGCAAGACUCUUUCGGCAGCAGCGCGCAGCGAAUAAGAAGUAGCGUAGUAUGAGAAGAAAAAAAUUUUCUUUCAGCCAAACGUAAUUGCACUGCUACUGUGCUUAUUUUUGCAAUGGAAAUGCACAUAAAACUGUUUGAAAGCUACUCACGCGUACAAUUCAACACUUGUGGUCCGCUUUUGUGGCCAGUUUGUUUACUCUAAUGCACCAUAAGUAUGUGAAUUUUUGUUAUUUAUUUUAAAUUGUUUAUCAUGAACUGCACACACGACGACGACGACGACAACGACGAACGACCGACGACAGACACGAAGUGUGUACAACACGAAUUACCUACAAUACAUGCAUUUUGCAACACUGUUGCGCUGCCAACUGGUCGUGUCAAAUGGAUUACUCAAAUGUUUUUACAAAUAACAUGCAUUUUAAUGCUCAAUCAAAUAUUAACAAUCUAACAAAUUAAAUUUACACGUGCUUCUUCUGCGGUUUUUGUUGUUGUGUAUA